UUUUUUUUCUAUUUUCUUCUUUCUCUUCGCGACGUUCUCUCUCUUCUAUCUCUUCCUACACAAACGGCAAAGCCAUCGGCCAUCGCCGUUUCGCCGUGAAAAUCACGCGAUUCACCUUGAAUCGUUGGAUUUUCCGGCUUAAACACCAAAGAUUGUUAUAUGAGAGAGAUCUGUCGAGGUUUCGGGUUCCAAUCGAGAUUCCCCUCGAUAGGCCUUCUAUCUCUGACGGUGAUAACGAGGGCGGAAGGUUCCUGUGAUGGGAUUAAGGGGACGGUGAGGUCAACCGGCUGGCGGAUCGCACACACAGAAGGUUCCUACUCUCCAUUUGAAUGCGCUUGUUCCUGCUGUUGUCGAGCGCCUUGGUGAUAGUAAGCAAUCCGUUAGGGAUGCUGCUAGGCGCUUGUUGACCACUCUUAUGGAGGAGAUGUACAUGCAAGGUGGGUCUCAAUUCCGAGAAGAGCUUCAGCGCCACCAUCUUCCAUCAUAUAGGGUGAAGGACAUUAACGCUAGACUAGAACGUAUUGAGCCACAACAGCGUUCGACAGAUGCCCGUAGUGGUCAUCAUGUUGUUAAUGAGGUUAAGGCAUCAAGUGUCAAUCCCACACUGUUGGUUUAACAACUCCAUAAAAUAUAUGGUCUUAACUUUUGAUUGUUGAAACAUUAGUAAGUUUUUGAGAUGCUUCAGUUCUUGAGAUCUAACACAUUAGUAAAAUAUGUUUCAUAUUUCUGAAUUAUGUAUAAUAUUUAUGUUUUCUUUUUCAUGUAAUAUAAGUAAUUA